GGUUGCUUUUCUUUGGAGAUGGAGAGAAGUGGUGGGCAAGUUGUCAUUUACCAUGCCCUCAUAUAUUUGGUCUUAAAUGACUAGGCUUUAGUAUAUAUUAAUAUAUAAGGUAUAACCUGAAAAUCUCAUGUAAAAGCUUAGUAGCAUUGUUGUAACAGUAACAUAUUUCAUUGUACUUCAGGAUUGUCCAUGGAUGCAGCGUUACCAUCAAGGAGCUCGAGGCCGAGGUCGACUCUGGCACCCUGUUGACAAGUCUAGAGAUUCAGCAGUAGAAAGAAACCAGGAAAGUGGUAUUAAUCUUAGAAAAGAAGGAGGAGAAGAGUGAUAAGUCCAGAUGGCCUUAGGUGUCCUGACUGUCUAGGCAGCCAAAGAGCAUGUUAGGCAAUCCAGAGGGCAAAGGAAUAGAGAUAAAGGGGGUUGCUGUGCUGGUGGGGUACACUGCAGAGAAGUUUUGUGUCAAAGCGGGAAUCUGAUCAGAGGUUCAGAAUUGGAAGUACUAUUUCAUUGUUUUUGCAAUUUUACAAUUUAAUAUUUAUUUAUUUAUUUAUGUUGAGGCAGUUUCGCUCUUGUUGCACAGGCUGGAGUGCAAUGGCAUGAUCUCAGCUCACCGCAAUCUCUGCCUCCUGGGUUCAAGCGAUUCUCCUGCCUCAGCCUUCUGAGUAGCUGGGAUUACAGGCAUGCACCACCACGCCCGGCUAAUUUUAUAUUUUUUAGUAAAGAUGAGGUUUCUCCAUGUUGGUCAGGCUGGUCUUGGACUCCCAACCUCAGAUGAUCCACCCGCCUUAGCCUCCCAAAGUGCUGGGAUUACAGGCGUGAGCCACUGAUCCCGGCCGGUCUACAAUUUAAAGUGUCAGAAAAAGCUGAUGGCGAGGACAUGCAUUGCAAUUUGCAAGGGGAAAUGUCAAGUGAGGACUUCAUCACAUAUGACCGAGAGAAAAGUAAGAGCUGGUUCUAAAAUCAAAAGCUCUUGUUCAUCCUGAAUUGAAUUUUCUAAAUUUGGGUGGAGUAGAGUCGCUUUGAAGCCUUGUUCCAAUCUUGUUAUAUUGCAUUGUUGAUGAUAACUGUUGACUUUGUUUAGUGUAGAAGCAACAAGCAUGUCAUUGUAGUACAAGUACGGUGAAGGAUAGAACAAAUUUUUGUUAAUGCAAACAUUCAUUUAUUCAUUCAUUUAUAUAUUGAGAUGGAGUUUCACUCUUGUCACCCAGGCUGGAGUGCAUGAGCCGAAAUUAUGCCACUGCACUCCAUCCUGGGCAACAGAGGAAGAUGCCACCUCAAAAAAAAAAAUAGUAACAGCAUUCAAGUAUGAGGCUAAGUGUAACGAAUACUAAAUAGCUGUGAGUUUUGAGAAAUGUUUGUUACUGAAUUAACCUCUUUGGAGUUUGGAUAGCAGAUAAAUGAUAUUAGUUUCUGCCUUCACUAGCAUGCCUUUGUUUUGUCUACCAGGGAAUGACCAGUUCAUGGUUCACUCCUAUAUUAGGUCGUUCUUGCAUUGCUAUUAUGAAAUACCCGAGACUGGGUAAUAUAUAAGAAAAGAGGUUUAAUUGGUUCACAGUUCUGCAGGCUAUACAAGCAAGACAUCUGACAUUGUUCAUCUUUUGAGAGACCUCAAGGAGCUUUUACUCAUGGCAGAAGGUGAAGCAGGAGCAGGCAUCCCACAUCACAGAGUAACCAAGGGAGUGAAUGCGGGGAGGAGAUGCCACACUUUACAACAACCAGCUCUGUAAGAACUCACUAUGGAGAGGACAGCACCAAGCCAUGAGGGAUCUGCCCCAUAACCCAAACACCCCACCAGGCCCCACCUGCAACACUGGGGAUUAUAUUUCCAUGAGAUUUGGGUGGGGACAAAUAUCCAAACCACAUCAACUAUUCUGGUCCCAUAAGAACAAAAUGUUUAGACAACAUCCUUGAGCUUUUGCCUGAUUUUCAUGCAUCCUGCCAGCCCUUCCUGAGCCGCCGUGUCCAGCCUUAUAUGGAUUUUUAAAAGAACAGAGGCCAGGCACGGUGGCUUCCACCUGUAAUCCCAACACUUUGGGAGGCCGAGGCAGAUGGAUCACCUGAGGUCAGGAGUGUGAGACCAGCCUGGCCAAUAUGGCAAAACCCCAUCUCAACCA
rnacentral:lncRNA from 1 species